GACGAACGCUGGCGGCGUGCUUAACACAUGCAAGUCGAACGGAAGGGCCCUGCUUUUGGGGGGUGCUCGAGUGGCGAACGGGUGAGUAACACGUGAGUAACCUGCCCUUGACUUUGGGAUAACUUCAGGAAACUGGGGCUAAUACCGGAUAGGAGCUCCUGCUGCAUGGUGGGGGUUGGAAAGUUUCGGCGGUUGGGGAUGGACUCGCGGCUUAUCAGCUUGUUGGUGGGGUAGUGGCUUACCAAGGCUUUGACGGGUAGCCGGCCUGAGAGGGUGACCGGCCACAUUGGGACUGAGAUACGGCCCAGACUCCUACGGGAGGCAGCAGUGGGGAAUAUUGCACAAUGGGCGGAAGCCUGAUGCAGCAACGCCGCGUGCGGGAUGACGGCCUUCGGGUUGUAAACCGCUUUCGCCUGUGACGAAGCGUGAGUGACGGUAAUGGGUAAAGAAGCACCGGCUAACUACGUG
rnacentral:rRNA from 1 species